rnacentral:rRNA from 1 species
UGCUUCUUCUUGAGAGCGGCGGACGGGUGAGUAAUGCCUAGGAAUCUGCCUGGUAGUGGGGGAUAACGUCCGGAAACGGACGCUAAUACCGCAUACGUCCUACGGGAGAAAGCAGGGGACCUUCGGGCCUUGCGCUAUCAGAUGAGCCUAGGUCGGAUUAGCUAGUUGGUGGGGUAAUGGCUCACCAAGGCGACGAUCCGUAACUGGUCUGAGAGGAUGAUCAGUCACACUGGAACUGAGACACGGUCCAGACUCCUACGGGAGGCAGCAGUGGGGAAUAUUGGACAAUGGGCGAAAGCCUGAUCCAGCCAUGCCGCGUGUGUGAAGAAGGUCUUCGGAUUGUAAAGCACUUUAAGUUGGGAGGAAGGGCAGUAAAUUAAUACUUUGCUGUUUUGACGUUACCGACAGAAUAAGCACCGGCUAACUCUGUGCCAGCAGCCGCGGUAAUACAGAGGGUGCAAGCGUUAAUCGGAAUUACUGGGCGUAAAGCGCGCGUAGGUGGUUCGUUAAGUUGGAUGUGAAAUCCCCGGGCUCAACCUGGGAACUGCAUUCAAAACUGACGAGCUAGAGUAUGGUAGAGGGUGGUGGAAUUUCCUGUUGUA